rnacentral:rRNA from 1 species
UACGUAGGGUCCGAGCGUUGUCCGGAAUUACUGGGCGUAAAGAGCUCGUAGGUGGUUUGUCACGUUGUUCGUGAAAACCCACAGCUCAACUGUGGGCGUGCGAGCGAUACGGGCAGACUAGAGUACUGCAGGGGAGACUGGAAUUCCUGGUGUAGCGGUGGAAUGCGCAGAUAUCAGGAGGAACACCGGUGGCGAAGGCGGGUCUCUGGGCAGUAACUGACGCUGGAGGAGCGAAAGCGUGGGGAGCGAACAGG